rnacentral:rRNA from 1 species
UACGUAGGAUGCAAGCGUUCUCCGGAGUUACUGGGCGUAAAGGGCGUGUAGGUGGUUUCGUAAGUCUGGCGUGAAAUUUUUCGGCUUAACCGGGAAAGGUCGUCGGAUACUGCGAGGCUAGAGGACGGUAGAGGCGUGUGGAAUUCCGGGUGUAGUGGUGAAAUGCGUAGAGAUCCGGAGGAACACCAGUGGCGAAGGCGACACGCUGGGCCGUACCUGACACUGAUGCGCGACAGCAUGGGGAGCAAACAGG